AUUGAACGCUGGCGGCAUGCUUUACACAUGCAAGUCGAACGGUAACAGGUUAAGCUGACGAGCGGCGAACGGGUGAGUAAUGCAUCGGAACGUGCCCGGUCGUGGGGGAUAACGCAGCGAAAACUGCGCUAAUACCGCAUACGAUCUGAGGAUGAAAGCGGGGGACCGUAAGGCCUCGCGCGAUCGGAGCGGCCGAUGUCAGAUUAGGUCGUUGGUGGGGUAAAGGCUCCCCAAGCCAACGAUUCGUAGCUGGUCUGAGAGGAAGACCAGCCACACUGGGACUGAGACACGGCCCAGACUCCUACGGGAGGCAGCAGUGGGGAAUUUUGGACAAUGGGCGAAAGCCUGAUCCAGCAAUGCCGCGAGCAGGAAGAAGGCCUUCGGGUUGUAAACUGCUUUUGUACGGAGCGAAAAGGUCUCCUCUAAUACAGGGGGCUCAUGACGGUACCGUAAGAAUAAGCACCGGCUAACUACGUGCCAGCCGCCGCGGUAA
rnacentral:rRNA from 1 species